GACGAACGCUGGCGGCGUGCUUAACACAUGCAAGUCGAACGGAAAGGCCCUGCUUUUGUGGGGUGCUCGAGUGGCGAACGGGUGAGUAACAUGUGAGUAACCUGCCCUUGACUUUGGGAUAACUUCAGGGAACUGGGGCUAAUACCGGAUAGGUGCUCCUGCUGCAUGGUGGGGGCUGGAAAUUUUCGGCGGUUGGGGAUGGACUCGCGGCUUAUCAGCUUGCCGGUGGGGUAGUGGCUUACCAAGGCUUUGCGGGGUAGCCGGCCUGCGAGGGUGACCGGACACAUUGGGACUGAGAUGCGACCCGGACUCAUACGGUAGGCAGCGGUGGAGAGUAUAGCACAAUGGGCGGAGGCCUGAUGCAGCAACGCCGCGUGCGGGAUGAGAGCCUUCGGGUUGUAAACCGCAUUCGCCUGUGACAAAGCGUGAGUGACGGUAAUGGGUAAAGAAGCACCGGCUAACUACGUG
rnacentral:rRNA from 1 species